CCUUUGCUGUGGAGGUUUGUGCUUCUGACCCAGGCUCACAAGGCAGCAGUGUUCUGUAGAUGUAGCUCAGCUGCCUCUGAGCUCUGGGCUGUCCUGCAGUGCAGACACAUUCCCUGGAGAGGCUCUGAUGGAUCAGAGCCCCACAGCUGAUAAGGUUCUCCAGAUAUCUCUCUUCUGGCACUUUACAUCUGAUGGAGGAAGUAUCUGAAGAUUGGUGAAAAGCUGUAGACACCCUGGUGCAACAUAAAAGAAGCUUCAGGACAUCUCAAUCGAUGGAGCUGGAGUGUUCUCCAGAUAUUCUGGACAUAUUGCUGUAUUUUACAGGCCAACCAGGGAAGUAACUGAAUAUACUUGCUUGGAGAAAGAAUGGAAGGUUCAGACAAGAUGUCCAAGUCUGCUCUGUGCCAGUCAACCUGGGGAGGAGAGCAGCUGGGUUGUCCCAACAGGACAUGCUCUCUUCUGGUGUUGUCUUUGUACCUCUCCCUGCUGCCCUGAUUUCCUGUUCCACUCCUUCUUAUGCCUUGUCAGUAAUGUAAGGCCCUGGGUAUCAAGGCUGAUGAGAGGUGUCAAGAGAAUGCAUAGUGCCAUCUAAGAAACAUAUGAAGGGCCUGAUUUACAGAAGCAGGGGACGAGGAGUUUCUCUGUCGAGCAGUCAUUUCAGCCUGUUCUGUUUUCCUCAGAAACCACACGGGAGCAGUGUGGUCCAGCCUUUGAGAAAGGAACUGCUAGUCUUUCCUCUGGCGACUGAACCUAUCUGUCAGAGGGUGUCUCGGUCUGAGAUAUAAGAACACAAAACUGAUGACAAGUAAAAUAUUUCACAGAACAUCCAUCUUUCACUUUGCAAAUACUCCUUUGUGAGAAAUCAGAUUGUCAGUAAGGACUACUCAGAAUACUUACUAUAUUGAAUGAAAUAAAGAAU